UACGUAGGGUGCGAGCGUUGUCCGGAAUUAUUGGGCGUAAAGAGCUUGUAGGCGGUUUGUCGCGUCUGCCGUGAAAAUCCGGGGCUCAACCCCGGACUUGCGGUGGGUACGGGCAGACUAGAGUGUGGUAGGGGGAGACUGGAAUUCCUGGUGUAGCGGUGAAAUGCGCAGAUAUCAGGAGGAACACCGAUGGCGAAGGCAGGUCUCUGGGCCACUACUGACGCUGAGAAGCGAAAGCAUGGGGAGCGAACAGG
rnacentral:rRNA from 1 species